rnacentral:rRNA from 1 species
GUUAGGAAUAUUGGACAAUGGGCGAAAGUCUGAUCCAGCCAUGCCGCGUGAACGAUGAAGGCCUUCGGGUUGUAAAGUUCUUUAGCCGAUGAUUAUAAUGACUGUAGUCGGAAAAUAAGCCCCGGCUAACUUCGUGCCAGCAGCCGCGGUAAUACGAAGGGGGCGAGCGUUAUUCGGAAUCACUGGGCGUAAAGCGUGCGUAGGCGGUUUUGUAAGUUAGGAGUGAAAGCCCAGGGCUCAACCUUGGAAUUGCACUUAAAACUGCAAGGCUCGAAUCUCGGAGAGGAUAGCGGAAUUUCCAGUGUAGCAGUGAAAUGCGUAGAUAUUGGAAGGAACACCAGUGGCGUAAGCGGCUAUCUGGACGAGUAUUGACGCUGAGGCACGAAAGCGUGGGGAUCAAACAGGAUUAGAUACCCGAGUAGUCC